AUGCAGUCCUCGUCGGUGAAGAGUGAAAUGUACCCCAUCUGGGCCGUAUCCUUGCUCACCCUCUUCGGCGGCAUUGACUCAAUCAGUGGGUACAACCUUGACCACAACAGCCAGUUCCUGAAGUUGCUAUACCAGCUCUGCCUCUAUUGUGGAUAUGUCCUACUAAUUGGUAUAUCCACCAUCUCCACUGAUGUAGGUAACAUUGCAAUUGGUGUUCUGUGUGCCAUCACUUUCAUUAAGGGCUUUCACAGAUCACUAGCAAGUGUGUUGCCAAGCAGAUUGCGGAAUGUAAACAAAUUGAUUGCUGAUUACAAGGGAGAGAGCCAUUCAAGAAGUCAUGAUGGUGACGUCAUUAUGAGAGAUUACCCUAAGUACGUUGUCGACUGGCCCCUAGACCAUUUCAGAAAAAGAAACAACAUAUUGGAGGGUAAUGAAGUCAUCACUACAAACAAGAUAUGGCUUUGCACCCUCACUUCAUCAGGACGAAGCACCGAUUAUUACAAGGAUGUUUGCCUCUCCUUCUCCCUAUGCCAUUUGUUGCAACGACGUUUCUUCAGGUUUGCAUGUGCUGAGUCCCGCCUUGAUGAGACCGAGGAUUUUGUCAACAAAGGCCUGCUUGUACAAAGGGAUGAUGGCACUGUUGACUAUGAGAGGGCAUUUAACGUCAUCGAGGUUGAGUUGUAUUUUCUCUAUGACAUAUUUUUCACCAACAAUGCCUUCCUUCAUUACUAUGAGUUGAAAGUUGCAACAAUUUGGACAUUUGCCUCAAUCAUUGGCAUAAUAUUUGUGGGAGUUGUGACUAUCAUACCUGGGGCAAGGAGAACACAUAUUUCUGGCGACACUAUUGUUGUGACGACCGCAUCAUAUGACCUUGUCAUCACUCUAGUAAUACUGGUCUCCAUUGUUUUGCUCCAAGUGAUGCAGUUGGUACGGUGUUGGACAUCCAACUGGUCUAAAGUUGCCCUUGUGUGUCAGUCUAUCAGAAAUGGAGACGGGGGCUGCCAAAUGAGGUUUAAAGCAUUUAUGAGCAAGAUUGAUUUUUUCGCCGGCUAUGUCUGGCAACGUAAGCUUGGACAAUAUUCAUUUGUUGAAGCAAUCAGCACAAAAGAGUGUGUGUUGGCCACGUUUGUGAAACGUGCAUUCAAGGAAUGCAUCACUUUUUCAAGGAUAUUUGGGUUGCGGUACAUUGAGCAAGUUUACGAGGAAAUGUUUGGCAGUCCUACAGGCAAUCAUGUUCUGUUGACCACACACGUGAAGGAAGCCAUUGUUGACUCUUAUAUGCGCCUCUGCCUUAUUGACAAUGGUGAUCUAGGUACUUGGUCUUGGACUUGGCCGACAAUUGGUGUCUUAUCGGAGAGGAAAAAUGGACCGAGAACUAUUAUGGCUUGUCACAUUGCGACUUGUUACCUAGAAAUGGGGCAGUCAAAAAACAAGAAGUGGCUUGAUGAGCACCCUGUAGAAGAAGAGAGGGAGAAGCUAGCAGUGUAUUUUGAUGUUGCCACAACGUUGUCCAAGUACUAUGCACACUUGAUUGUCUCCGCGCCACAGUUGCUUCCUCCGAACCCCUUGGAGACAAAAUCUGCUUAUAAUGCAGCCGCACGGGAAGCAAGACAUUUACUACGUGGGGCGAAAGACAAAUAUGAGGCAAUGAAACAUAUGGACUCAACAACAGGGGUGAUUACGAAUGAAGAAGAAUCAGAUUUCUCCAAGGAAGAAUCAGUUUUCCGGAAGGGCAUGGAACUAGGGAGGAGUCUCGAAAACCGGCCUGUGUUUGUUCUAUGGGAGGAGCUGGCAAGAUUCUGGACCAAUAGGUUGCUCUAUGCCGCGCCUUCCGAUAAUGUGAAGGAGCACAUUGAUCAUCUCUCACGGGGUGGUGAGUUCACCACGCAUCUCUGGGCUCUGCUGUUUCAUGCUGGCAUAGUCAAUGCCGACCAAUUCGAGCAAAAACAGGUCCUACGGGAACACUGGUGA
rnacentral:rRNA from 1 species